CCCAGACUCCUACGGGAGGCAGCAGUGGGGGAUAUUGCACAAUGGGGGGAACCCUGAUGCAGCGACGCCGCGUGGGUGAAGGAGCGUUUCGGCGCGUAAAGCCCUAUCGGCAGGGAAGAAGGAGGACGGUACCUGACUAAGAAGCCCCGGCUAACUACGUGCCAGCAGCCGCGGUAAUACGUAGGGGGCAAGCGUUAUCCGGAUUUACUGGGUGUAAAGGGGGCGCAGACGGCAGCGCAAGCCAGGAGUGAAAGCCCGGGGCCCAACCCCGGGACUGCUCUUGGAACUGCGCGGCUGGAGUGCAGGAGGGGCAGGCGGAAUUCCUGGUGUAGCGGUGAAAUGCGUAGAUAUCAGGAGGAACACCGGUGGCGAAGGCGGCCUGCUGGACUGCGACUGACGUUGAGGCCCGAAAGCGUGGGGAGCAAACAGGAUUAGAUACCCCCGUAAC
rnacentral:rRNA from 1 species